rnacentral:rRNA from 1 species
UUGGUGUGGUUGUUGCUGGCCCUCUUCGGGGGCAUGUGCACACCCACCAUCCUCAUCUCUCCACCUGUGCACCUCUUGUAGACCUGGAUUGACUUUCCGAGGCAACUCGGUCGGGAAGAUUGCUGCGMUCUGUGAGCCAGCUUUCUUUGCAUGUCCAGGCCUAUGUUUUUCAUAUACCCCUAUAGAAUGUAACAGAAUGUAUCAUUGGGCCUUGUGCCUAUAAACCUUAUACAACUUUCAGCAACGGAUCUCUUGGCUCUCGCAUCGAUGAAGAACGCAGCGAAAUGCGAUAAGUAAUGUGAAUUGCAGAAUUCAGUGAAUCAUCGAAUCUUUGAACGCACCUUGCGCUCCUUGGUAUUCCGAGGAGCAUGCCUGUUUGAGUGUCAUUAAAUUCUCAACCUUAUUAACUUUUGUUGAUAAUGGAUUGGAUUGUGGGGGUUUCUUUUGCUGGCUUCUUCACAGAGAUCAGCUCCCCUUAAAUGCAUUAGCUGGUGCCCCGCGUGGACCAUCUAUUGGUGUGAUAAUUAUCUACGCCGUGGAUGUCUGCAAUUAUAUGGGUUUCGCACUGCUUCUAACCGUCUGUUCAUUCGGACAAUACAUGACAAUUUGACCUCAAAUCAGGUAGGACUACCCGCUGAACUUAAGCAUAUCAAUAAGCGGAGGA